CGAUUCUGGCUCAGACGAACGCUGGCGGCGCGUUUAAGCAUGCAAGUCGAGCGGCAAGGGCCUUCGGGCCCCUAGAGCGGCGGACGGGUGAGUAACACGUGGACAAUCUGCCCCCCGGCCCGGGAUAGCCCAGGGAAACCUGGAUUAAUACCGGAUGAGACGGGACCCGCGAUGGCGGGACCCGGGAAAGGCGCUGCGGCGCCGCCGGGGGAUGAGUCUGCGUCCCAUUAGCUAGACGGCGGGGUAACGGCCCACCGUGGCGACGAUGGGUAGCCGGCCUGAGAGGGUGGACGGCCACAUUGGAACUGAGACACGGUCCAGACUCCUACGGGAGGCAGCAGCUAAGAAUCUUCCGCAAUGGGCGAAAGCCUGACGGAAGCGACGCCGCGUGAACGAAGAAGGCCGUGAGGUUGUAAAGUUCUUUUCGGGAGGGGGAACAACCGUGGCAGGGAAUGGCCGCGGGAUGACGUGAAUCCCGGAAUAAGCCCCGGCUAACUACGUGCCAGCCGCCGC
rnacentral:rRNA from 1 species